rnacentral:rRNA from 1 species
GAUGAACGCUGGCGGCGUGCCUAAUACAUGCAAGUCGAGCGAAUGGAUUAAGAGCUUGCUCUUAUGAAGUUAGCGGCGGACGGGUGAGUAACACGUGGGUAACCUGCCCAUAAGACUGGGAUAACUCCGGGAAACCGGGGCUAAUACCGGAUAAUAUUUUGAACUGCAUGGUUCGAAAUUGAAAGGCGGCUUCGGCUGUCACUUAUGGAUGGACCCGCGUCGCAUUAGCUAGUUGGUGAGGUAACGGCUCACCAAGGCAACGAUGCGUAGCCGACCUAGGAGGGUGAGCGGCCACACUGGGACUGAGACACGGCCCAGACUCCUACGGGAGGCAGCAGUAGGGAAUCUUCCGCAAUGGACGAAAGUCUGACGGAGCAACGCCGCGUGAGUGAUGAAGGCUUUCGGGUCGUAAAACUCUGUUGUUAGGGAAGAACAAGUGCUAGUUGAAUAAGCUGGCACCUUGACGGUACCUAACCAGAAAGCCACGGCUAACUACGUGCCAGCAGCCGCCGUAA